AAAGGGCUCGAUCUCCCGACUGGCCCGGAAGAGGGCCACUGUGGAGUGCGGAGUCGCCGCGGCCUCUCCUAAGCAGCCCUUCAGCGUGGCCGGUCAAGUGCACCCCGAGAGCGGCCGCGCGUUUGAAACGGAGAGAGAGCCAUGCGACUCCUGGGGCGCGUUUCUGCAAACACGCGAGGAGAGCGAGGCCGCUGCGGCCGGUGACCCCCAGGACUAUGCGGAUGUGGACACAGGAAAAGCCAGGCGUGGUUACCGCGAUCACUGAGCAGGAGUCGGGUGUGUGGAGGACACGGGAGACCCCGAGCAGGGCGCCAGCGGGGCGGACGCCCAGAGGCCAGGUGGCUGGUGCUCUGUGGUCUGUGUAGGAGGGAUGGAGUUGGGCGGCUCCGGCCAGCACGGAAGAGGAGGCAUUCGAACUGGUCCUUGAGGGAUGAAAGGAGACUUUUCACCAGAGGAGGGACAGGGAGGCUGGCCUGAUCCCAUCCCACCCAACGGCAAACCGCGCUCCGUCCCCUCUCCUGUUCUGCCCCCAGAAGAGAAAGGAGCACCCCAAAGUGCAAGCAGCCGGAGCUGCCCA